ensembl:lncRNA
CUUUACACGGAGCCCAAACGCAGUGACUUUUGGCCGCAGCAGCUCUGUCUCUGAAGGUGGAAUAGUCUGUGACUGCCAGGAGGGACCCGGGGGCCAGGCCUGCAGCCGGCCUCAGUAAAGGGUUUGUUUUCAAAAACAGUUUUUACCAUCCAGUUUUACCACCAGCACGGAGCAGAAAACAGCCAGUGGAAAACAGAGAGGAGUAGGAUUUUGCUGUCAGAUAAAACGAGAGGAAAGGAUGCCAUCCCUGAAACUGCAGCCAGGUGCAGCUCUAAGCAACCACAGUGUUACAGAGGGAACCUGCCCCAGCUGACGCCAUGUAGAUGUGAUAAAGCAGAAAGUGAACACAGGUAACACCAUCUUACAGUAACUCCUCUUCCAGUCUUCCCAUUUAACUGUCAGAGCAGUAACAGAUUGGAAGAAAAUCAAUUUUAGGAAUCAAUCCCCAAACCCUUUCAUACACUCAGAUGACUUGAGACUUAUAAUGUGGGAAGCACUUAUAAUGGGGGUAGGGAAAAAAAAGCAGAGCUACAAAUAUCUCCUCCACUUUAAUUGAGUAGGUAUUAGAGUUCCUCCAACCUUUCCUCUCAGAACUCCUUCUGCUCUCAAAUUCUUUUCCACUUUUUCUUCCGACCACACCACUACCAUAAUCCCCCUUCUUCACCUCCUUCCCCUCCUACUUCUCCUUCUCCUUCUCCCCCCCUAUCCUUCUCUUCCCUUUCCCUCUCCCGAUCUCUUCCUUCUCCCCAGCACUCUCUUAU